ensembl:lncRNA
CCAGUAUGAGCUGGAAAAAGAUGCGACCCCCCCCCACCUCGGAUAAGUGGAGGAAAACAGAUGGAUGGCUAAGAAUUUUUUAUCAAAUAAUGCCAUCUUCGCUCCAGUUUAAACACAGCAAUAGCCAACCCAGAUUCCAGACAAAUGAAGAUCUGGAGGAUAAUCCCUUAAACCAAGGACGUGUUCCAAGUAUAAUAUUAUGUAUAAACCCGUAACAAGUUUUGAAGAAAGUUUACUCCAAGAUGAGUUUUGGUUUCCACAGUCCACUUAUUAAUAUUAAUAAGGAGCAUGGAGUCUUGCUUCACGAUUUCUAAUCUAAUAUUGCAGGAGAGGCUGGUAAGAAGAAUGGUGGCUCAUUGCUGCUGGCCUCUGGCUACAAUUAAGCAUUAAACAUUGAAUCAGGACUUGCAUACUCUAAUAAUCCCCAAUGGCCAAGAACGAAUGUAUUUACUAAAUGUCAUGUUAUUAUUUUAAAUGUAAAAUAAAGUUUAUUUUUAUCUCGUUUUCAUUCAGGACAAAUGAAUAAUAUGCUGAAUUGAAUAUAUAAUUGGUAAACAUUAAGUUUGGCUACAGACCAAAGCUUGAUAAUUUGCAGUAUUCAGCUCUAUCUAAACAUAAUAUUCAUAUUCGUUAAAAAGAUACAUGGGUGGUUUGAAUAAAGAUUUGGCAAGCACCUUUCUCCACAUUUCAUUGUCCUUAAAACAAAACAUUACACUCAUCAAGUGCAGAAGGUUGCUGAUCCGCAGGCUUCAUAUCGUCCAAUGACAUCAGAAACCUGAACCUGAAUAAGUACGUUUUCUAAACCCCAGAAAGGAAAAACACACCAACAAAGCCUUUUGGAAGACAUGGGACAUCGUAAACUCCAUGGACUAUAAAAACCAUGAAACAUAAAGAACUACCCCCGACAAAAAGACAAAAAAGCACAUUGGGUACUUUAUUUUCUAAAAUCCUCCCCUGGUCUUCCAGAUGAACUCUGAAUUCUUGCAGCCACUAUCUGGUCCUUCCAUCACCACAGGGGACGCAGGACUGGAGAAGAGUGUCAGACCCUGCGGGAAUAAAAUUAGGCUUUGGUGCAAGUACACACAAACAUAAAUCCAUAGCUCCAUAGAUGCUGGGUUACUUGUUGUUCCUAUGGUUUUAAAAAGUAGGCUGGGGGCCAGAGCCUUCAGUUAUCAAGCUCCUCUUUUGUGGAACCAGGUUCCACUUUCAGUCCGGGGGGCAGAUUCGGUCCGCUCUUUUAAAGUAAAACUUAAAACUUUCCUCUUUGAUUGUGCCUAUAUUAAGCUGCUAUAGGCUUAGACUGCCGGGGGAAUUCUUAGGACACACCGAGCUCCCCUCUCACGCUCUCGUUCUACCAUAAUUCACCUUUUAUUAAUGCACAUGACUAAUUCAGCUUCUUUCCGGGAGUUUUUUGUGCUUUCUCCCCUAUCAGGUCUCCGUAGAUCGUAGUUCCUUCUGGACCCUGGUCCUGACACCUGCCGUGGCCCUGCUGAUGCCUGCUGCUGCCAUCAUCAUCAUCAUUAUUAUUUUGGAUAUUAAUCAUAUUACUGUACUCAUAAACCAUCAUUCCCCUCUCCUAAAGUCUCUGUGCUCUCCCUCCCCACAGGCUUCUGUGGAUGGUGGUUCUAUCUCACCAUCAGUGGUCCUGCUGUGCGCCUGGCUUACUACUCACAAUUACUUGAAUCAUUUCUGUCAUAGGAAUUGCAUGUAUUAUACAUUGCUCAUUCUGUACACAUGGCAUCCAUCGUAGUCUGUCCAUCCUGGGAGUGGGAUCCCUCCUCUGACGUUCUCCCUAAGGUUUCUUCCCUUUUUUCCCUCUUUGAAGGGUUUUUUCAUUUUUUGGGGAGUUUUUCCUGUGCCGAUGGUGGGUUUCGGGACAGAGGAUGUUGUAUGUGUACAGACUGUAAAGCCCUCUGAG